UACGUAGGGUGCGAGCGUUGUCCGGAAUUAUUGGGCAUAAAGGGCUCGUAGGCGGUCUGUUGCGUCAGGAGUGAAAACUCGGGGCUUAACCCCGAGCCUGCUUCUGAUACGGGCAGACUAGAGGUAUGCAGGGGAGAACGGAAUUCCUGGUGUAGCGGUGAAAUGCGCAGAUAUCAGGAGGAACACCGGUGGCGAAGGCGGUUCUCUGGGCAUUACCUGACGCUGAGGAGCGAAAGUGUGGGGAGCGAACAGG
rnacentral:rRNA from 1 species